UACGUAGGGGGCUAGCGUUGUCCGGAAUCAUUGGGCGUAAAGAGCGUGUAGGCGGUCCGGUAAGUCCGUUGUGAAAGUCAGGGGCUCAACCCUUGAAUGCCGGCGGAUACUGUCGGGCUAGAGUCCGGAAGAGGCGAGUGGAAUUCCUGGUGUAGCGGUGAAAUGCGUAGAUAUCGGGAGGAACCCCAGUGGCGAAGGCGACUACCUGGCCUGUUCUUGACGCUGAGGCGCGAAAGCUAGGGGAGCAAACGGG
rnacentral:rRNA from 1 species